AUUGAACGCUGGCGGCAUGCCUUACACAUGCAAAUCGAACGGUAACAGGUCUUCGGAUGCUGACGAGUGGCGAACGGGUGAGUAAUACAUCGGAACGUGCCCGAUCGUGGGGGAUAACGAAGCGAAAGCUUUGCUAAUACCGCACACGAUCUACGGAUGAAAGCAGGGGACCGCAAGGCCUUGCGCGAACGGAGCGGCCGAUGGCAGAUUAGGUAGUUGGUGGGAUAAAAGCUUACCAAGCCGACGAUCUGUAGCUGGUCUGAGAGGACGACCAGCCACACUGGGACUGGGACACGGCCCAGACUCCUACGGGAGGCAGCAGUGGGGAAUUUUGGACAAUGGGCGAAAGCCUGAUCCAGCCAUGCCGCGUGCAGGAUGAAGGCCUUCGGGUUGUAAACUGCUUUUGUACGGAACGAAAAGACUCUGGUUAAUACCUGGGGUCCAUGACGGUACCGUAAGAAUAAGCACCGGCUAACUACGUGCCAGCAGCCGCCGUAACAC
rnacentral:rRNA from 1 species